rnacentral:rRNA from 1 species
GGGUUGUGAGGUUAAGCGACUAAGCGUACACGGUGGAUGCCCUGGCAGUCAGAGGCGAUGAAGGGCGUGCUAAUCUGCGAUAAGCGCCGGUAAGGUGAUAUGAACCGUUAUAACCGGCGAUACCCGAAUGGGGAAACCCAGUGUGACUCGUCACACUAUCAUUAACUGAAUCCAUAGGUUAAUGAGGCGAACCGGGGGAACUGAAACAUCUAAGUACCCCGAGGAAAAGAAAUCAACCGAGAUUCCCCCAGUAGCGGCGAGCGAACGGGGAGGAGCCCAGAGCCUGAAUCAGCAUGUGUGUUAGUGGAAGCGUCUGGAAAGGCGCGCGAUACAGGGUGACAGCCCCGUACACAAAAGCGCAUGUGCUGUGAGCUCGAUGAGUAGGGCGGGACACGUGGUAUCCUGUCUGAAUAUGGGGGGACCAUCCUCCAAGGCUAAAUACUCCUGACUGACCGAUAGUGAACCAGUACCGUGAGGGAAAGGCGAAAAGAACCCCGGCGAGGGGAGUGAAAAAGAACCUGAAACCGUGUACGUACAAGCAGUGGGAGCCCCACCACUAAGCCAGUGGUGAACUCCACAUACGCAUCCUUUGCUGAAGGCAAUGGUUAACGGAGCGAAAGCGACGUUCAACCGCAAAACAAGCAGAGGGGGCUUAGUGGUGGGGUGACUGCGUACCUUUUGUAUAAUGGGUCAGCGACUUAUAUUCUGUAGCAAGGUUAACCGUAUAGGGGAGCCGGAGGGAAACCGAGUCUUAAUUGGGCGUUAAGUUGCAGGGUAUAGACCCGAAACCCGGUGAUCUAGCCAUGGGCAGGUUGAAGGUUGGGUAACACUAACUGGAGGACCGAACCGACUAAUGUUGAAAAAUUAGCGGAUGACCUGUGGCUGGGGGUGAAAGGCCAAUCAAACCGGGAGAUAGCUGGUUCUCCCCGAAAGCUAUUUAGGUAGCGCCUCGUGAAUUCAUCUCCGGGGGUAGAGCACUGUUUCGGCUAGGGGGCCAUCCCGGCUUACCAACCCGAUGCAAACUGCGAAUACCGGAGAAUGUUAUCACGGGAGACACACGGCGGGUGCUAACGUCCGUCGUGAAGAGGGAAACAACCCAGACCGCCAGCUAAGGUCCCAAAGUCAUGGUUAAGUGGGAAACGAUGUGGGAAGGCCCAGACAGCCAGGAUGUUGGCUUAGAAGCAGCCAUCAUUUAAAGAAAGCGUAAUAGCUCACUGGUCGAGUCGGCCUGCGCGGAAGAUGUAACGGGGCUAAACCAUGCACCGAAGCUGCGGCAGCGACGCUUAUGCGUUGUUGGGUAGGGGAGCGUUCUGUAAGCCUGCGAAGGUGGCCUGUGAGGGUUGCUGGAGGUAUCAGAAGUGCGAAUGCUGACAUAAGUAACGAUAAAGCGGGUGAAAAGCCCGCUCGCCGGAAGACCAAGGGUUCCUGUCCAACGUUAAUCGGGGCAGGGUGAGUCGACCCCUAAGGCGAGGCCGAAAGGCGUAGUCGAUGGGAAACAGGUUAAUAUUCCUGUACUUGGUGUUACUGCGAAGGGGGGACGGAGAAGGCUAUGUUGGCCGGGCGACGGUUGUCCCGGUUUAAGCGUGUAGGUGUGUGUUCCAGGUAAAUCCGGUUCACUUUAACACUGAGGCGUGACGACGAGGCACUACGGUGCUGAAGCAACAAAUGCCCUGCUUCCAGGAAAAGCCUCUAAGCAUCAGGUAACAUCAAAUCGUACCCCAAACCGACACAGGUGGUCAGGUAGAGAAUACCAAGGCGCUUGAGAGAACUCGGGUGAAGGAACUAGGCAAAAUGGUGCCGUAACUUCGGGAGAAGGCACGCUGACACGUAGGUGAAGUGAUUUACUCAUGGAGCUGAAGUCAGUCGAAGAUACCAGCUGGCUGCAACUGUUUAUUAAAAACACAGCACUGUGCAAACACGAAAGUGGACGUAUACGGUGUGACGCCUGCCCGGUGCCGGAAGGUUAAUUGAUGGGGUCAGCGCAAGCGAAGCUCCUGAUCGAAGCCCCGGUAAACGGCGGCCGUAACUAUAACGGUCCUAAGGUAGCGAAAUUCCUUGUCGGGUAAGUUCCGACCUGCACGAAUGGCGUAAUGAUGGCCAGGCUGUCUCCACCCGAGACUCAGUGAAAUUGAACUCGCUGUGAAGAUGCAGUGUACCCGCGGCAAGACGGAAAGACCCCGUGAACCUUUACUAUAGCUUGACACUGAACAUUGAGCCUUGAUGUGUAGGAUAGGUGGGAGGCUUUGAAGCGUGGACGCCAGUCUGCGUGGAGCCGACCUUGAAAUACCACCCUUUAAUGUUUGAUGUUCUAACGUGGACCCGUAAUCCGGGUUGCGGACAGUGUCUGGUGGGUAGUUUGACUGGGGCGGUCUCCUCCUAAAGAGUAACGGAGGAGCACGAAGGUUGGCUAAUCCUGGUCGGACAUCAGGAGGUUAGUGCAAUGGCAUAAGCCAGCUUGACUGCGAGCGUGACGGCGCGAGCAGGUGCGAAAGCAGGUCAUAGUGAUCCGGUGGUUCUGAAUGGAAGGGCCAUCGCUCAACGGAUAAAAGGUACUCCGGGGAUAACAGGCUGAUACCGCCCAAGAGUUCAUAUCGACGGCGGUGUUUGGCACCUCGAUGUCGGCUCAUCACAUCCUGGGGCUGAAGUAGGUCCCAAGGGUAUGGCUGUUCGCCAUUUAAAGUGGUACGCGAGCUGGGUUUAGAACGUCGUGAGACAGUUCGGUCCCUAUCUGCCGUGGGCGCUGGAGAACUGAGGGGGGCUGCUCCUAGUACGAGAGGACCGGAGUGGACGCAUCACUGGUGUUCGGGUUGUCAUGCCAAUGGCACUGCCCGGUAGCUAAAUGCGGAAGAGAUAAGUGCUGAAAGCAUCUAAGCACGAAACUUGCCCCGAGAUGAGUUCUCCCUGAGACUUAGAGUCUCCUGAAGGAACGUUGAAGACGACGACGUUGAUAGGCCGGGUGUGUAAGCGCAGCGAUGCGUUGAGCUAACCGGUACUAAUGAACCGUGAGGCUUAACCUUACAACGCCGAAG